UAGUGUUGCAGCUUUUUGAAAGAACCUGUCUAGCUGGUUUUCUGGUUUUCACCGGAAGACCCAU
ensembl:snRNA RNU7-134P RNA, U7 small nuclear 134 pseudogene